CGAAUGGAGAUGGAUGAGUGGACAAUACAGACGAAUAGAUUAGAUAGAUAGGCAACUGAUGGGAUGAAUGGAUAGGGUAAACAGAUAGAUUGAUGAAUAUAGAUAUACUGAUGCAUAGAUAAAUAGAUAAUAAUCAAUGGAUGGAUAAGUAAAUAGAUUUAUAGGUAGAAAAAGAGAUUUAUAGGCAGAAAGAAGAUUUAUAGGUAGAAAAGAUAGGUAGAAAAGAGAUUUAUAGGUAGUAAAGAUAUUUAUAGGUAGAAAACAGAUUUAUAGGUAGAAAAGAGAAUGAAUAGAAGGAUUAAAAUUAUAGAUAGCGAGGCUAUGUAAAUAAAUAGACUGGAUAGAUAGAUCCUUUCUGGCAGUAAUGAGCAUCAUACCAAGAGCUGCUCUCAAAGAUUGAGAUUGUCUUCAAGCAACCUAUAAGCCAUUGCUGAAGCAGAUUAUGGAGGAGAUACCGAACCCACAGCGACCAGAUUCUGGCGAUAUUGAACACGUGUCUUCGGGCCUCAGCGACCUACUUAAAACGGGAUUUAGCAUGUUCAUGAAGGUAAUCGUGCUGUCCACGCGACUCCUGAACCCACUUAACAUUGCGGAGCUGGAUCGACUUCAUCCAGACGUUGGCAUCUGAGCCAGAGCCACCUACUAUAAGAGAACAGAAGACUUAGCCGGUCUGGAAAGACCUGCUCUAUUGUCAACUGUUGACUGAGCCUACCCUGUUACUAACUGUAACUGUAGGAAUAACUGAAUUUUGACUGAAGGCCUUCGAUAAUGGGGAGGGAGGGAAGGGGGGGAAUGUUCUGUUGCUAAGACUGUUGCAAUGUUUUGUUGCCAAGAUUAUUGAAAUGUUAUAUUAUUGAGAUUGUUGUUACUGGUUUUAAAAUUUUUUCUUUUUCUGUUUCUGAAGUUGAGAUGUUAUA